UGGGGAAUAUUGCACAAUGGGCGCAAGCCUGAUGCAGCCAUGCCGCGUGUGUGAAGAAGGCCUUCGGGUUGUAAAGCACUUUCAGCGGGGAGGAAGGCGUUAAGGUUAAUAACCUUGGCGAUUGACGUUACCCGCAGAAGAAGCACCGGCUAACUCCGUGCCAGCAGCCGCGGUAAUACGGAGGGUGCAAGCGUUAAUCGGAAUUACUGGGCGUAAAGCGCACGCAGGCGGUCUGUCAAGUCGGAUGUGAAAUCCCCGGGCUCAACCUGGGAACUGCAUUCGAAACUGGCAGGCUAGAGUCUUGUAGAGGGGGGUAGAAUUCCAGGUGUAGCGGUGAAAUGCGUGGAGAUCUGGAGGAAUACCGGUGGCGAAGGCGGCCCCCUGGACAAAGACUGACGCUCAGGUGCGAAAGCGUGGGGAGCAAACAGG
rnacentral:rRNA from 1 species